UGCCCAACCCCUCCAGUCUUUUUAUUUUAAAUACAUAUGAUUUUAGUUGAAAAAUAUUUAAAAUUAUAUAUAUAAUAUAUAAUAUUAUAUAUUUUUUUUAAUGUAGGGAUGCUCUAUUUGCAUGUACAGCUACAUGCCAGAAGAGGGCACCAGAUCCCAUUGCAGAUGGUCUUGAGCCACCAUGUGGUUGCUGGGAAUUGAACUCAGGACCUCUAGAAGAGCAGCCAGUGUUCGUAACCUCUGAACCUCUGAACCGUCUCACCAGAAAUAAUUUUUAUGCAAUAUAUUCUGAUAAACAGUUUCCUCUUCCCUCUCCACCCACACUUUCCUUAGAAAACAAACACCAGAACAGAAAAAGAAAAAAAAAGCACAAGAAACACACAAAACACAAA
rnacentral:lncRNA from 1 species